AUUGAACGCUGGCGGCAUGCCUUACACAUGCGAGUCGAACGGCAGCACGGGUGCUUGCACCUGGUGGCGAGUGGCGAACGGGUGAGUAAUACAUCGGAACAUGUCCUUUCGUUGGGGAUAGCCCUGCGAAAGCCGGAUUAAUACCGCAUACGAUCUACGGAUGAAAGCGGGGGCCCUUCGGGCCUCGCGCUAUCGGGUUGGCCGAUGGCUGAUUAGCUAGUUGGUGGGGUAAAGGCCUACCAAGGCGACGAUCAGUAGCUGGUCUGAGAGGACGACAAGCCACACUGGGAGUGAGACACGGCCCGGACUCCGACGGGAGGCAGCAGGGGGGAAUUUUGGACAAUGGGCGCAAGCCUGAUCCAGCAAUGCCGCGUGGGUGAAGAAGGCCUUCGGGUUGAAAAGCCUUUUUGUGGGGAAAGAAAACCAGCACCUUAAUACCCCGGGGGGCUGACGGUACCGAAAGAAUAAGCACCGGCUAACUUCGUG
rnacentral:rRNA from 1 species